rnacentral:lncRNA from 1 species
GGCAUCUCACUGAGGGGAUUUUUUUUUUUUUUUUUGAUAGUGCUGACUUUGCAGGAAGGUGUGUGGUUUUCAAUAUGCCCUGACAAGGAAGUUCAAAAAGCUCCACUGAGCGCUACUGAGGAUUCAAUCCUGUCAAAACUAUAGUAUGUCUUCUCAGAAAGAUUCGGGAAACUCGUUCUUAACCGAAUCAGGCCUUUUGUUUCGUUCUGGUGUCUGUGACUUACUCCCCUUCCCCUCUCAUCUAUCUAUAACUUUCUUUGGUGCACUUUGUCUACCCUUUACCUGUCUAUCCCACUGAAAAUAGUCUACAGUAAGAUGUCUCUGCCCUGUGUGAGACGUGUGUCUCUAUCCUCCUGUCUCCAAAGACAGAGUUGCUACAGCUAACAGGGAUGGCUUCUGUUGCUCAUGUGAACAAAGUCAUGGAUUCCCAGUUUAUUAGAUAUGGAAAUGUGCUACUGUCUUUACUGUUACUUCCUGACUGUCACUUAAUGGAUCGUCAUAACAACAGUGCUCCCCUUGUCUCUUCCUCAGAUGUGCGAUGCCCCUCUCUACAGGUGGAGGCCUGGAAGUUUCCGCAGACCCCCCGGGACCUCAUCACAGGUUUUAAUCUGGUGCGCCGCUUCUCUCUGGUAAAGAACGCCGAGGUGAAGAAGAUCCGCAACCCGCGAGGACCCCUCAUCAUGCGCCUGGGCAAGGUGUCUCUCACACAACCCACCGAGUAAGACAUCCUCUCUUUAUCUCUCUACCUCUCUCUGACUUUAUCACUCUACCUCUCUCUGACUUUAUCACUCUACCUCUCUCUCUCCAUCUCUUUUGAUCUUUUUUAUGUCUGUAUGUCUGACUGCCUGUCUGUCUGUUUCUCUGUUGAUCUAUUUUCUGUCUGUCUGCCUCAAUGAUCUAUUUCCUGUCUGUCUGUCUGCCCUUCCUUCCUUCCAUCCAUCCAUCCAUCCAUCAUUCAUAUGCCUCUUCAUCUAUCUAUUUCCCCUACCUGUUUUGUUCUCACCUCUGCCCUCAAACCUCCCUGUCUCUUAAUUUAUUCAGAGGGACCUCUCUCUCAACUUUCAACUCCCUACAGUGCCUGGGUGCUCAGACUGUCGGACAGAUAUGCACUUUGACAGAAUGCACACACACACACACACACACACUCUCUAGUACAGGCAAGCAACAG